ensembl:lncRNA
GGUGAGGGGAGCAAGACAGGAGGCCGCUCCAUUGAAGAUUCUCACAGACCGUCCUCUGCUCUGGGUGAAAUCAAGCUGAUUACCUCAGUCAGACCCUGGAGCAGGCGCCUUGUGGCUGACUGACACCCUGCGUAAGCUGUCUGCCUCCAGACAGAGAACAACAACUCAGCUGAGAGCAGCCCCGGCAGGGUUUCCAGCCUGCGCGCCUGUCUCCGACAGACCAGCUUCCCUAUGCAGACACCCAAAUCUCUUCUGGAACCCAACUCCACUGCCACCAAUAUCCCAGCCUCCUCCGCCUGCCGAUGAUAAAAUGGGCUGCCGCAGUUAGAGGCUACCACAGCUCCGGCUCCAGCAAGAGGAAUAAAAAUUAGCCUCGGCCCCUUUAAUCUGGUUCGUUACAAAUGGCUGCUUUUUACUCUGCAGUUUGCCCGGCUCCCUGCAGCUGCUUAAUUA